rnacentral:rRNA from 1 species
AUUGAACGCUGGCGGCAUGCUUUACAUAUGCAAGUCGAACGGCAGCGCGGGCUUCGGCCUGGCGGCGAGUGGCGAACGGGUGAGUAAUGCAUCGGAACGUGCCCAGUAGUGGGGGAUAGCCCGGCGAAAGCCGGAUUAAUACCGCAUACGACCUGAGGGUGAAAGCGGGGGACCGAAAGGCCUCGCGCUAUUGGAGCGGCCGAUGUCGGAUUAGCUAGUUGGUGGGGUAAAGGCUUACCAAGGCGACGAUCCGUAGCUGGUCUGAGAGGACGACCAGCCACACUGGGACUGAGACACGGCCCAGACUCCUACGGGGGGCAGCAGUGGGGAAUUUUGGACAAUGGGGGCAACCCUGAUCCAGCCAUGCCGCGUGCGGGAAGAAGGCCUUCGGGUUGUAAACCGCUUUUGUUCGGGAAGAAAUCCUCUGGGCUAAUACCCCGGGGGGAUGACGGUACCGGAAGAAUAAGCACCGGCUAACUACGUG